rnacentral:rRNA from 1 species
GAUGAACGCUAGCUACAGGCUUAACACAUGCAAGUCGAGGGGCAGCAGGGAUUUAGCUUGCUAAAUUCGCUGGCGACCGGCGCACGGGUGCGUAACGCGUAUGCAACCUACCCAUAACAGGGGGAUAACACUGAGAAAUUGGUACUAAUACCCCAUAGUAUAACGAAGAGGCAUCUUUUUGUUAUUAAAGAAUUUCGGAAACGGAUAGGCUCGCGUGACAUUAGCUAGAUGGCGGGUAACGGCCCACCAUGGCGACGAUGUCUAGGGGUUCUGAGAGGAAGGUCCCCCACACUGGAACUGAGACACGGUCCAGACUCCUACGGGAGGCAGCAGUGAGGAAUAUUGGUCAAUGGUCUGACGACUGAACCAGCCAUUGCCGCGUG